AAUACAUGAAUUAAGGUCAACAGCUAUCUUUUCCUCAUGGUAACUACUGUAUUAAAACAUGCAGCUAAAAAGAACCCAUAGAUUUAAGUUUUGCUAUUGUAUGUAUUGAAAAAUGUGCUAAGUUUGUGUGACAAUUGAAAUUAAUGAAAUGAUAAUGAUGAAUAUUCCUUUUUUUUCCAGAAAAAGAAAACAUAAACCGUAAUCUCUAAUUCAUCCACACUGUGUGUAAGAAUGAACUGAAGGAGCUAUUUAUUGAUUUUCAAUUGAAGAUUGCAAGGUUGUAUAUGAUCUCAAUCGCUUCAGGGCACAUAACAUCAUGGAUAAAAGAGUGAAAAGGGAUGGAGUACUUCUGAGUAAAAUCCACUGGUAAAAGAAUAAAGCCCACAGUGUUUACAUGUUCAAUGUUACCUUUCUGAUGAAGUGAACUUCUAUCAUCUGUGUUGGUUCCUAACUGCAAGCAUAAAAGAAAAGCAAUUUACACAUAUCUUUUGAUCCAUCAUUGUGGCUUGUUGUAAAGGGUUUGAUAUGGAAGUCAUCACAUGUCACCGAAUGUUUUAUAAAGUGAG